AGUGAGCGCUGGCGGUAGGCCUAACACAUGCAAGUCGAACGGCAGCACAGUAAGAGCUUGCUCUUACGGGUGGCGAGUGGCGGACGGGUGAGGAAUACAUCGGAAUCUACUUUUUCGUGGGGGAUAACGUAGGGAAACUUACGCUAAUACCGCAUACGACAUACGGGUGAAAUCAGGGGAUCUUCGGACCUUGCGCGAUUGAAUGAGCGGAUGUCGGAUUAGCUAGUUGGCGGGGUAAAGGCCCACCAAGGCGACGAUCCGUAGUUGGUCUGAGAGGAGGAUCAGCCACACUGGAACUGAACCACGGUCCAGACUCCUACGGGAGGCAGCAGUGGAGAAUAUUGGACAAUGGGCGCAAGCCUGAUCCAGCCAUACCGCGUGGGUGAAGAAGGCCUUCGGGUUGUAAAGCCCUUUUGUUGGGAAAGAAAAGCAGCAGGUUAAUACCCCGCUGUUCUGACGGUACCCAAAGAAUAAGCACCGGCUAACUUCGUG
rnacentral:rRNA from 1 species